GAUGAACGCUGGCGGCGUGCCUAACACAUGCAAGUCGAGCGAAAAGACGAGGAGCUUGCUCGUCUCACGUUAGGGGCGCGCGGGUGUGUCACGCGUGUAUACCCUCCCUAUAAGUCUGGUAUAACUUCGGGACACCGGCUCUAAUCGCGGAUAAUAUAUUGAACCGCAUGGUUCAAUGGUGAGAGUCGGCUUUUCUGUCAGGUAUAGAGGGUUACGCGCUGCAUUAGCUAGUUGGUGAGGUAACGGCUUAUCAAGGCGACGAUGCGUAGCCGACGUGAGAGGGGGAUCGGCCACCCUGGAACUGAGACAGGGUCCAGACUCCUACGGGAGGCAGCAGUAGGGAAUGUGCGGCAAUGGUGGAAAGCCUGACGGAGCAAGGCCGCGUGAGUGAUGAAGGUCUUCGGAUCGUAAAACUCGGUUAUUAGGGAAGAACAAAUGUGUAAGUAACUAUGCACGUCUUGACGGUACCUGAUCAGAAAGCCACGGCUAACUACGUG
rnacentral:rRNA from 1 species